rnacentral:rRNA from 1 species
GAUGAACGCUGGCGGCGUGCCUAAUACAUGCAAGUCGAGCGAACGGACGAGAAGCUUGCUUCUCUGAUGUUAGCGGCGGAAGGGUGAGUAACACGUGGAUAACCUACCUAUAAGACUGGGAUAACUUCGGGAAACCGGAGCUAAUACCGGAUGAUAUUUUGAACCGCAUGGUUCAAAAGUGAAAGACGGUCUUGCUGUCACUUAUAGAUGGAUCCGCGCUGCAUUAGCUAGUUGGUAAGGUAACGGCUUACCAAGGCAAUGAUGCAUAGCCGACCUGAGAGAGGGAUCGGCCACACGGGAACUGAGACCCGGUCCAGACCCCUACGGGAGGCAGCAGUAGGGAAUCUUCCGCAAUGGGCGAAGGCCUGACGGAGCAACGCCGCGUGAGUGAUGAAGGUCUUCGGAUCUUAAAACUCUGUUAUUAGGGAAGAACAUAUGUGUAAGUAACUGUGCACAUCUUGACGGUACCUAAUCAGAAAGCCACGGCUAACUACGUG